AAAGUCAUCUCGAAACAUGGUCAUAUGACGAAAUAUUAGAUUUGAUGGCUAAAAGUGGUCACAAUCUAAGAAAUAAAAUUAUACGGGUAGGGUCGAAAUGAUGUCACGACCCAACUAUAAGGAUAGUUCGAAUUGAUGGAACGACUCCAUUGAAAAAGAGAAAUUAUAUGGGUAGGGUUGGAACGAUGACAUAACCUUAUGCAAAUCAGAUUUGGG
rnacentral:misc_RNA from 1 species